AUGGACUCACGUGAGGAUAGCCGGAAGACUGGGCCUCAGGCUUCCGUUGGCUCUGGCCUUCCUUGCUGCUUUGGCCACUUUGCUCCCCUUCCCCCACAUCCCUCCUCCAUCCCCUUUGUCCUUCCGUCCAAGCUAGAUUUUCACAGUGAAUGUGAUCUCUCAUUUCACUUCCUGCAGCGCUGGCUCGUCAAAUACAGAAGGGCUGCAGAAACACCUCUGCUUAGGACACCACAAGUGUGUGGUCCAUGCCAGCCAUCGGUGGCAAGAGUUCUAAGAAGGGAGAGGGCCAUCUCCUGGACAGCAGUGGGAAGAGAGAUGUGCACGAAAAAGACGAGGGAGAUUCGACCAUCCGAGGGUCAAGACACAGAAAUUCGAACUGGCCCAGAGCGACCUUACUUGGCGCAGAGAAUCAUUUACCGAACGAGCGAGGGUGUGCGGAUACGGGAGCUAUUCUUAAAAGACAGAGUGAUGAACAGCUGCACCUGAAGUCGAAAAACGAUCCAAAUUUUGAUUCCUUUCUGUGGACUUGUUCGAAUUGAAAGACCGAUUGUAAGCAAAAAACAACUUGAAUUUGCUGACGGAGGUCCUGUUAAAAGAGGCCAACAGUACGAGACACAUGGCGAUUAAAUCGCUACGUGAUGCGACUAUUAUAUUUUUCGGAGAUGUUCUAAAGAAUUUUCCUGUUACUUUUUUAAGGUGUGAAAUUUAGCUAAACAACUACUACAGCUAACAUUCUAAGAUAACGCGGUUACUUUCCUAAUAUAAAAAUUCAUAGGUUCCGAUUGUGUAACAUAAACAACAGAACAAAAUCAGGCUAGACAACUAAGUCCCCUUAUGUAAAUGCCUAAUUCCAUCAUUCAAAGAACGUUGGUUUGAUAGUAAAUCUAAAUCUCAAGGCCAAGCUUAACUGCCCUUUCGUGAAAAAUAUCUCAAUUUUCCUGAAGCCUCAAAGAAGACAUACUGCAAUGGCAGUAUUUUGUUCUUUAGAGGGAAUAAAUUGCCCUUCUCAGCCACCUCAGUUGCUCAGGAAUGAGAUGUGCUAAGCAUUCGUAUGAGGAGAUUUUGGAAGAUGGUGCAGGUGUGGGCUGACUUAAAUUACUUGCUUUUGUGCUUUUCUAAAAGGUCAAAAAGGAUCUGGUUUAGGGAAGGCAGAGAGAAUAACACUUUUCAACAUGAGUUAAAAUGCCCAUGUGCCCAGCUUCAGAUGCAGGAAAUAAUACAAACCUGAUAAAGCAUUUAGCUGAUGCAUCCUGAAAAAUGAUAUACCUAUCAGCAUGCAUGUCAUCAAUCAAAAAUUAUUUAAUAUUUGCAUUCAAUUAACCAAAUGACUCCACCAGUUUGACAUUUUCACAAAUCAGCAAUUAGUAAAAUGAUUGGUAAAAUCUUCCACACCCUGUCACUCAUUUAAUGGUAAAUUAUCGAGCAGUAUUUUAACUUGUAAGAAUAUUUAGUAGUUUGAGAAUUUGUGAUGUUGUGGAGUGUAAGAAUUUACACGUUUUCUAAACUAUAGAAAAUACUAACAGAAUUACUUGAAGUUGUUUGUUUUUUUUUUAAUCAUUUUGGAACAAAGACUAAAUGGAGGAAACUAAUCGGAACAGUUCCGAUAUCUAAAGACAUAAAUGAGUUGAGUAUAUGGUAUCUUGAACAAUUUUCUCUAUAAAAUGGGUUAAAAAAACUCUCUGCUUAAUUAAACAUAAAAUUGGCUAUAUUAAGAUAUAUUAUUUUUGUCUUAUGUAACUAGAAUUCCUUGCACACCAACAUAAGAAACUAACAGCUAUGUUGGCUAUAUUCCCUAAGCAUCAGUAAUUUAAAUUCCCUGAAUAUAAUUGACCUCAUUAAGUUGACUCAUAGGACAGAAGAGCUACUGGGGAAACUCUUUAUAUACAAUUAUGCAGAUUAGUAGUAGUUUUUAAGUCACUAAUAACUAGACACAAAUUUUCUGGGUUGAAGGAAAGACUGUAAAUCUACCUUAUAUAAUUUUCUAGCCAUCUUUUAAUAUGAGAUAAAUUAUAGCACAUAAACAUCCUUGGGAUCUAUUUUAUUUUAAGGAAAUAAUUUUCUUUGCUGUCAGAGAUGCCCAUGAGGGCAAAUUUUGAUUAUAUAUUUGAGAGCUGUCAAAUUUAAUGAUUCAACACAUAACUUCAAACCAUUUCUCAGAAGGGUUCUCAGACUAUUAAUAGUAUUUUACUUCAGAGAAAUACAUUUAAAAAUACAAAAUUAGUGGCAUUAAUAUUGAAUUUUUAUAUCUGUACACAGAUAUGGAAAUAUGUGCACAUAAAACCUAAAGACUAAGGUCGAGGGGAAAAAGGACAUUAAAAAUCACACUUGGCAGAAAAAUAAUGUAUUUUACCAAGAAUUCUUGCAGUAUUUUCUGUCUUAAGGUUUGCCCUCUACAGUGUCAAAACUGCUCAGAGAUCUGUUCACCAACCUCACACAACUGCAGCUGUGCACAUGUGUUUCACGUGUGUGCAUUUCAAUCUCCACUCUCUUUUGCAGGGCAAAGAAAUAAGGGGAGAGUGAAAAUCUUGAGGUACUCUAACACACAAUAAGGACUUAUAGUUUAUUAAUUGGAGAAUUUAGCUUAGCUCCUCCACUAUUCAUCUGAAAUUAAUUAAGUGUGUAGAAUUACAAGGUGGGUGUAUCAGAGACAGCAGGCCCUGCUCGGACUAAUCAAAAGGGCACAUGUUGAAUGAGCACAAUUUAGUUAAGGUUAAUCCAGUGAAGAUGAUACCUCCCUGGUCUUAAUUACUCUAGGUGAUAGAUUGUGGAAUGGCAAAGUAGGAAGGAAGGGAAAUUUGGUCCUACUGAAUACCAGGAUUUUCUAAUUUAAUUUAGCUUGCUCUGUUUUCACAGAAGCAGACAGUUGCUAUUCAGACAGCAGGACCACACUCUCUGGAUUAAGUUGGGUAAAAGAAAAAAAUAAUUGUAUGUCGAUUUUUUUUUAAAAAGUGGGAAACAAAUAUGAAUGUUUCAAAGGUGUUGAUCAUAAUGUGCCUUUCAUUACUGACAACUCAAUUCAGAAUUUUAUCAGUAGAUUCUUUGUGAUUUCUGCUAGGAGUUGUUUGCUGUUUUGAACUUUCUUCUGAGUACUGAGGCUAGUCAAUGUGCUGAAAUAGAGACGUGUCUGUACCUACAAGACUACAUUAAUGAAAUGAAUGUAUGUGUAUUAUUAAAAAUAAUGUAGUUUAAAAUAUAAGUAAGUGUACAACAAACCACCGUGGAUGAAUCGCACAAACAUUGAGUGAAAAAGCAGACUUGGGAAUACAUCCAAGAAUCCAUUUAUAUAAAGCUCAAAAACAGAUAACAGAAAUCUAGUAUGACAAGUCAGAAUGGUGAUUUCUGUUUGCAACAGGAAAACAAGAGGUGCCUCUAGGGGUCCUGGUGGUAUUCUGUUUCUUAUGCUGGGUGCUAGUUAUACAGGUGUGUCCACUUUAUGAUAAUUUAUCAAAUGAAUUUGUGAACUUAAGAUUGGUGCAUUUUUCUGUACAUAUGUUUUAUUUCAAUAAAACAUUGUCUUCACAAAAUGAAAAUAAGAGGAAAAAAGACUAAGAAAUAAGGGAAUGGGAUUGUGAGACUACAUUUUUAAAAGAUAGAAAGGUGAGGGCUGCAGAUAUAAUUCUGGAAGAGAAAAAAUACAUUAAAAUAUCUA
ensembl:lincRNA